CACUGCCUUUAAUGGGGCAGUACGUUCACGUGAAUACAUAGCGUGAACGAGGCACACCCGGAGAACUGAAACAUCUAAGUACCCGGAGGAAGAGAAAGAAACAUCGAUUCCCUUAGUAGCGGCGAGCGAAAYGGGAAGAGCCCAAACCAGGAAGCUUGCUUCCUGGGGUUGUAGGACACUCUAUAYGGAGUUACAAAGGGACGGAUUAGAYGAAGCGRCCUGGAAAGGUCCGCCAUAGCGGGUAAUAGCCCCGUAGUCGAAAGUCCGUCCCCUCCAGAGUGGAUCCUGAGUACGGCGGAACACGUGAAAUUCCGUCGGAAUCCGGGAGGACCAUCUCCCAAGGCUAAAUACUCCCUAGUGACCGAUAGUGAACCAGUACCGUGAGGGAAAGGUGAAAAGCACCCCGGAAGGGGAGUGAAARAGAACCUGAAACCGUGUGCCUACAAGUUGUCAGAGCCCGUUAAUGGGUGAUGGCGUGCCUUUUGUAGAAUGAACCGGCGAGUUACGAUUCCAUGCAAGGUUAAGCAGCGAAUGCGGAGCCGCAGCGAAAGCGAGUCUGAAUAGGGCGAAUGAGUAUGGGGUCGUAGACCCGAAACCAGGUGAUCUACCCAUGUCCAGGGUGAAGGUAAGGUAACACUUACUGGAGGCCCGAACCCACGUACGUUGAAAAGUGCGGGGAUGAGGUGUGGGUAGCGGUGAAAUUCCAAUCGAACCUGGAGAUAGCUGGUUCUCUCCGAAAUAGCUUUAGGGCUAGCCUCAAACGAAAGAAUCUCGGAGGUAGAGCACUGUUUGGACUAGGGGCCCAUCCCGGGUUACCGAAUUCAGACAAACUCCGAAUGCCGAUGAUUUAUGUUUGGGAGUCAGACUGCGGGUGAUAAGAUCCGUAGUCGAGAGGGAAACAGCCCAGACCGCCAGUUAAGGUCCCCAAGUAUCCGUUAAGUGGAAAAGGAUGUGGCGCUGCCCAGACAACCAGGAUGUUGGCUUAGAAGCAGCCACCAUUUAAAGAGUGCGUAAUAGCUCACUGGUCGAGUGGCGCUGCGCCGAAAAUGUACCGGGGCUAAACGGAUCACCGAAACUGCGGAUUGACACCUAUGGUGUCAGUGGUAGGAGAGCGUUCCAAGGGCGUCGAAGCCAGAUCGUAAGGACUGGUGGAGCGCUUGGAAGUGAGAAUGCCGGUAUGAGUAGCGAAAGAAGGGUGAGAAUCCCUUCCACCGAAUGCCUAAGGUUUCCUGAGGAAGGCUCGUCCGCUCAGGGUCAGUCGGGACCUAAGUCGAGGCCGAAAGGCGUAGACGAUGGAUAACAGGUUGAUAUUCCUGUACCACCUCCCCGCCGUUAUCAGCAAUGGGGGGACGCAGAAGGAUAGGGUGAGCGCGCUGUUGGUCAUGCGCGUCCAAGCAGUGAGGUGUGGAACGAGGCAAAUCCCGUUCCUAUAACAUUGAGCUGUGACGGCAAGGGGAAUUGUCCCCGGAGUCCCUGAUUUCACACUGCCAAGAAAAGCCUCUAGCGAGGCGGGAGGUGCCCGUACCGCAAACCGACACAGGUAGGCGAGGAGAGAAUCCUAAGGUGAUCGAGAGAACUCUCGUUAAGGAACUCGGCAAAAUGACCCCGUAACUUCGGGAGAAGGGGUGCUCUGGUAGGGUGUUAAAGCCCGAGAGAGCCGCAGUGAAUAGGCCCAGGCGACUGUUUAGCAAAAACACAGGUCUCUGCAAAACCGUAAGGUGACGUAUAGGGGCUGACGCCUGCCCGGUGCUGGAAGGUUAAGAGGAGAGGUCAGCGCAAGCGAAGCUUCGAAUUGAAGCCCCAGUAAACGGCGGCCGUAACUAUAACGGUCCUAAGGUAGCGAAAUUCCUUGUCGGGUAAGUUCCGACCCGCACGAAAGGCGUAACGAUCUGGGCACUGUCUCAACGAGAGACUCGGUGAAAUUAUAAUAUGCGUGAAGAUGCGCAUUACCCGCGACAGGACGGAAAGACCCCGUGGAGCUUUACUGUAGCCUGAUAUUGAAUUCCGGUGCAGCCUGUACAGGAUAGGUAGGAGCCUUGGAAUCCGGAGCGCCAGCUUCGGAGGAGGCAAUGGUGGGAUACUACCCUGGCUGUAUUGGACUUCUAACCCUUGCCCGUGAUCCGGGCAGGAGACAGUGUCAGGUGGGC
rnacentral:rRNA from 1 species